rnacentral:rRNA from 1 species
AGAGUUUGAUCCUGGCUCAGGAUGAACGCCGGCGGUGUGCCUAAUACAUGCAAGUCGUACGCGUUGGCCCAACUGAUUGAACGUGCUUGCACGGACUUGACGUUGGUUUACCAGCGAGUGGCGGACGGGUGAGUAACACGUAGGUAACCUGCCCCAAAGCGGGGGAUAACAUUUGGAAACAGAUGCUAAUACCGCAUAACAAUUUGAAUCGCAUGAUUCAAAUUUAAAAGAUGGUUUCGGCUAUCACUUUGGGAUGGACCUGCGGCGCAUUAGCUUGUUGGUAGGGUAACGGCCUACCAAGGCUGUGAUGCGUAGCCGAGUUGAGAGACUGAUCGGCCACAAUGGAACUGAGACACGGUCCAUACUCCUACGGGAGGCAGCAGUAGGGAAUCUUCCACAAUGGGCGCAAGCCUGAUGGAGCAACACCGCGUGAGUGAAGAAGGGUUUCGGCUCGUAAAGCUCUGUUGUUAGAGAAGAACGUGCGUGAGAGCAACUGUUCACGCAGUGACGGUAUCUAACCAGAAAGUCACGGCUAACUACGUGCCAGCAGCCGCGGUAAUACGUAGGUGGCAAGCGUUAUCCGGAUUUAUUGGGCGUAAAGCGAGCGCAGGCGGUUUGAUAAGUCUGAUGUGAAAGCCUUUGGCUUAACCAAAGAAGUGCAUCGGAAACUGUCAGACUUGAGUGCAGAAGAGGACAGUGGAACUCCAUGUGUAGCGGUGGAAUGCGUAGAUAUAUGGAAGAACACCAGUGGCGAAGGCGGCUGUCUGGUCUGCAACUGACGCUGAGGCUCGAAAGCAUGGGUAGCGAACAGGAUUAGAUACCCUGGUAGUCCAUGCCGUAAACGAUGAGUGCUAGGUGUUGGAGGGUUUCCGCCCUUCAGUGCCGCAGCU